UUGUUGAUGUUAAGCCAUGUUUGAACGGCGGCGUGUGUACAAAUGGGAAUAGUAACUACGUAUGUACAUGUGCCCGCUGGAUUUUAUGGAAAGAACUGUGAACAAACUUUCGUUAAUCUUGCCCUUGGAAAACCAGCCAGUCAGACAACUGUUUAUUCUUUAAAUAAUCAAUGAGUGCUAACAAAGGGAAUGAUGGUAAUGCUGAUAGUACAAUAUCUCACAACAGUUGUUUCCAUACUAAUAACAACACAAGUCCCUGGUGGGAAGUAGAUCUUCAGGAUGAAUAUGCCAUAAGUCAAGUUAACAUCACAAACAGUGACACUGGCUCUAAAAGAGCACAAAACGUUGAAAUCUCCGUAGCAAGGGAAAAUCCUGGUAAUUGGAAUAUGGUGGCGUAUAAGGAAGGCGAAUUGGGUCUUUUCAUGUCUUUCAAGUUUGAUCCAGUAAAAGCUCGUUAUGUCAGGAUAACUUUACGGAACAUACAAACAAUAUUUCAUCUGUGUGAAGUGGAGGUUUAUGGAUACAAAUAAUUGAAAUACAAAAAUGACAAAAACGAACGACAGCAAGAAAGGGAGAAGAAAAAAAGAAUGAGAAGAAAACAAAUAUAAAAUGAUAAUUUUCUUGCAAGUCUUAUUUUAAUCGGAUGCUACCUUUUAAUUUAACAAUUAAUUUUAAUUGAAAAUAAAAGUGAAAAGAA